rnacentral:rRNA from 1 species
AGUGGGGAAUAUUGCACAAUGGGCGCAAGCCUGAUGCAGCGACGCCGCGUGAGGGAUGACGGUCUUCGGAUUGUAAACCUCUUUCGGCAGGGACGAAGCGCAAGUGACGGUACCUGCAGAAGAAGCACCGGCCAACUACGUGCCAGCAGCCGCGGUAAUACGUAGGGUGCAAGCGUUGUCCGGAAUUACUGGGCGUAAAGAGCUCGUAGGCGGUUUGUCGCGUCGUCUGUGAAAUCCUACAGCUUAACUGUGGGCGUGCAGGCGAUACGGGCAGACUUGAGUACUACAGGGGAGACUGGAAUUCCUGGUGUAGCGGUGAAAUGCGCAGAUAUCAGGAGGAACACCGGUGGCGAAGGCGGGUCUCUGGGUAGUAACUGACGCUGAGGAGCGAAAGCAUGGGUAGCGAA